rnacentral:rRNA from 1 species
CGCGGCCUAUCAGCUUGUUGGUGGGGUAACGGCUCACCAAGGCGACGACGGGUAGCUGGUCUGAGAGGAUGAUCAGCCACAUUGGGACUGAGAUACGGCCCAGACUCCUACGGGAGGCAGCAGUGGGGAAUAUUGCGCAAUGGCCGCAAGGCUGACGCAGCGACGCCGUGUGUGGGAUGAAGGCCCUCGGGUUGUAAACCACUGUCAGGGGGGACGAAUACCCGGCCUCGAAUAGGGGACCGGGGGUGACGGUACCCCCAGAGGAAGCACCGGCUAACUCCGUGCCAGCAGCCGCGGUAAUACGGAGGGUGCAAGCGUUGUCCGGAAUCACUGGGCGUAAAGCGCGCGUAGGCGGCCAUUUAAGUCAUUUGUGAAAUCCCGGGGCUCAACUCCGGGCCUGCAGGUGAUACUGGGUGGCUCGAGCUCGGUAGAGGCGAGUGGAAUUCCCGGUGUAGCGGUGGAGUGCGUAGAUAUCGGGAAGAACACCAGUGGCGAAGGCGGCUCGCUGGGCCGUAGCUGACGCUGAGGCGCGAAAGCGUGGGGAGCAAACAGGAUUAGAUACCCUGGUAGUCCACGCCGUAAACGAUGGGUACUAGGCGUCGGGGGGAGCGACCCCCUCGGUGCCGCAGCUAACGCAUUAAGUACCCCGCCUGGGGAGUACGG